rnacentral:tRNA from 1 species
GUCAACGUAGGCUAGUAGAGCGCAAGGCUCUUAACCUUGUGGUCGUGGGUUCGAGCCCCACGGUGGGCG